rnacentral:snoRNA from 1 species
GUCCUCCCUGUGCUCACCACAGGCUGUGUUCUUAUGCUGACUGUAUAUGGAAAGGAGACAGAGUAAUCCUACCCCCGUUCACAUAAGCCCAGGCCAUUGUGCCUAGUCUGUAAUGUGAAUGGGGAUACAUAG